rnacentral:lncRNA from 1 species
ACCAAUAUAAAUAACAGCCACCAAUAUAAGUGGUGGUAUAGGUAUAAGUUUACUAUAUUUAUAUUCAACCCAACAAUAUAAAUAGGAUUGUAUAAUUUGUAAUCAAUUAAGUAGAAGAGUUAUAUCUUUUAUAAACACAUUUUAUUCUCUUUUAUCUUCUCUGCACUAUCAGCACAAUUAUCUAAAAAUAUCUAACAAA